rnacentral:rRNA from 2 species
ACUUAAAUUGAAGAGUUUGAUCAUGGCUCAGAUUGAACGCUGGCGGCAGGCCUAACACAUGCAAGUCGAGCGGUAGCACAGAGAGCUUGCUCUCGGGUGACGAGCGGCGGACGGGUGAGUAAUGUCUGGGAAACUGCCUGAUGGAGGGGGAUAACUACUGGAAACGGUAGCUAAUACCGCAUAACGUCGCAAGACCAAAGUGGGGGACCUUCGGGCCUCAUGCCAUCAGAUGUGCCCAGAUGGGAUUAGCUGGUAGGUGGGGUAACGGCUCACCUAGGCGACGAUCCCUAGCUGGUCUGAGAGGAUGACCAGCCACACUGGAACUGAGACACGGUCCAGACUCCUACGGGAGGCAGCAGUGGGGAAUAUUGCACAAUGGGCGCAAGCCUGAUGCAGCCAUGCCGCGUGUGUGAAGAAGGCCUUCGGGUUGUAAAGCACUUUCAGCGGGGAGGAAGGCGGUGAGGUUAAUAACCUCAUCGAUUGACGUUACCCGCAGAAGAAGCACCGGCUAACUCCGUGCCAGCAGCCGCGGUAAUACGGAGGGUGCAAGCGUUAAUCGGAAUUACUGGGCGUAAAGCGCACGCAGGCGGUCUGUCAAGUCGGAUGUGAAAUCCCCGGGCUCAACCUGGGAACUGCAUUCGAAACUGGCAGGCUAGAGUCUUGUAGAGGGGGGUAGAAUUCCAGGUGUAGCGGUGAAAUGCGUAGAGAUCUGGAGGAAUACCGGUGGCGAAGGCGGCCCCCUGGACAAAGACUGACGCUCAGGUGCGAAAGCGUGGGGAGCAAACAGGAUUAGAUACCCUGGUAGUCCACGCUGUAAACGAUGUCGAUUUGGAGGUUGUGCCCUUGAGGCGUGGCUUCCGGAGCUAACGCGUUAAAUCGACCGCCUGGGGAGUACGGCCGCAAGGUUAAAACUCAAAUGAAUUGACGGGGGCCCGCACAAGCGGUGGAGCAUGUGGUUUAAUUCGAUGCAACGCGAAGAACCUUACCUGGUCUUGACAUCCACAGAACUUAGCAGAGAUGCUUUGGUGCCUUCGGGAACUGUGAGACAGGUGCUGCAUGGCUGUCGUCAGCUCGUGUUGUGAAAUGUUGGGUUAAGUCCCGCAACGAGCGCAACCCUUAUCCUUUGUUGCCAGCGGUCCGGCCGGGAACUCAAAGGAGACUGCCAGUGAUAAACUGGAGGAAGGUGGGGAUGACGUCAAGUCAUCAUGGCCCUUACGACCAGGGCUACACACGUGCUACAAUGGCAUAUACAAAGAGAAGCGACCUCGCGAGAGCAAGCGGACCUCAUAAAGUAUGUCGUAGUCCGGAUUGGAGUCUGCAACUCGACUCCAUGAAGUCGGAAUCGCUAGUAAUCGUAGAUCAGAAUGCUACGGUGAAUACGUUCCCGGGCCUUGUACACACCGCCCGUCACACCAUGGGAGUGGGUUGCAAAAGAAGUAGGUAGCUUAACCUUCGGGAGGGCGCUUACCACUUUGUGAUUCAUGACUGGGGUGAAGUCGUAACAAGGUAACCGUAGGGGAACCUGCGGUUGGAUCACCUCCUUACCUUAAAGAA